rnacentral:misc_RNA from 1 species
GCCUUGAGUCCUUUACCAUUGGAGUAGGAGAAUUGGCUAUAUUCACACUUUCUUUGCCACCUACUCAUCGUUGAACACCAUUACGAUAACUAUCCAUAAGCACAAUCUCUACCAUGCAUGUGAUGUAAGUCAAUUCUCAUUUGAGCAAGUGGUGCCAAAUUAGACAAUAACAUUUCAUUCUGCAUCACCAAAAAUGAGUUCUCCUACUCCACCAUGCAUUAAAAAAAAUUAAAAAAAAAAUUGGUUCAUGUAACUCAGCAUCAAAAGAGGUAAACUUCCAGAAAGAAAGUACCUUACCUAUCAGCUGAAAUGUAUUGAAAAAUUUGGCAAUCGUUAAUGCAUCUGUCUUCAUCAUCAAAGAUUGUGAUGAGCGGCUUUCUUGAGCAACAAGUCCGGGAUCUUCCUUUCCCUGCCAAUCAAAAUUAAAUAUAUAGAAGAGGAAGAUGAGCCUGAAUAACAAUUCCAACCUAAAUCAGAAGAAGGCGAGGCUCGGCAAAUUUCAAGCAAGAUCUUGAAAAUGUUGCUUAAUCAAAAUCAGAUUGCGAGGGCCAGUAAUCCACAUGCAAUCAGUUGUUCAUGCAACUAUAAGGACGUUUCUUAGGAAGAAUUUUCAUAAACAAUGACAAAUAAAUAGAGGGGCUAUUUAUACAGGGAAAAUAUUGUAUGCUCCACCCCG